CCCGUCUCAAAAGGUUACUGGAUUCUGCUGGAGGACAUUGAUCAUGCUCCUUUGGACGUGAUAUCGGUUCUGCAUCCUCUCAUGGAAAACAAGAAAUUGACUAUUCCAGGACGUGAGGACUGUAUUCAGACGGCCCCAUCAUUCCAGUUUUUUGCAACACGAAGGACAUUUUACAGUGGAGGAGCCUGGCAUCGACCACAGAGUUCACAUGCUGCACUUCUGGACAAAUACUGGAGUAAACUGCAGAUCGGCAACAUGAGCCGA